rnacentral:rRNA from 1 species
UACGUAGGGUGCAAGCGUUAAUCGGAAUUACUGGGCGUAAAGCGUGCGCAGGCGGUCUGUUAAGACCGAUGUGAAAUCCCCGGGCUUAACCUGGGAACUGCAUUGGUGACUGGCAGGCUUUGAGUGUGGCAGAGGGAGGUAGAAUUCCACGUGUAGCAGUGAAAUGCGUAGAGAUGUGGAGGAAUACCAAUGGCGAAGGCAGCCCCCUGGGAUAAUAUUGACGCUCAUGCACGAAAGCGUGGGGAGCAAACAGG